rnacentral:rRNA from 1 species
CGGAAUUAUUGGGCGUAAAGUGUGCGCAGGCGGCCGCGCAAGUCGAGUGUGAAAGCCCCGGGCUUAACUUGGGAAUUGCGCUCGAAACUACGUGGCUGGAGUGUGGCAGAGGAAGGUGGAAUUCCACGUGUAGCGGUGAAAUGCGUAGAGAUGUGGAGGAACACCAGUGGCGAAGGCAGGCUUCUGGGCCGACACUGACGCUGAGGCACGAAAGCGUGGGGAGCAAACAGG